rnacentral:lncRNA from 1 species
CUUUAAUGGCUUCUUUAUAGAGUUUCUGUGAAAUUCACAACCUGUCAGAACAGAGUGGCUUCCAACCAGUUCAGAGCCCCGCUGGGUGACAUACUGAGCACUCUUUCUAAAGGCAAUAAAACUAAUUCAAGGAAGGAAGAGACAGAAAUGGAGAGACGUUGGAGUUGUAAGCAGCACAGAAACAGGAGUCAACAGUACAGUCAAAAGACCGCUCCCUGCCGGGGCCGCCACGUGGGCUGGAAAUCUUGCUGAGCACUUAAUCUUAAACAACGUUGAGCGCCCAUCUAUCAUACACGCAGUACUCUGAACUGCCUUGUGUUCUCAGAAAUGAAACAAAACCCAGUUGUAGCUCGG